rnacentral:miRNA from 1 species
AAGUCACAUCAUGUACAACAGG